GACGAACGCUGGCGGCGUGCUUAACACAUGCAAGUCGAACGCUGAAGCUCAGCUUUUGUUGGGUGGAUGAGUGGCGAACGGGUGAGUAACACGUGAGUAACCUGCCUCCUUCUUUGGGAUAACGCCCGGAAACGGGUGCUAAUACUGGAUAUUCACUGGUCUUCGCAUGGGGGCUGGGGGAAAGGGUUUUUCUGGUGGGGGAUGGGCUCGCGGCCUAGCCGCUUGUUGGUGGGGUGAUGGCCUACCAAGGCUUUGACGGGUAGACGGCCUGGGAGGGUGGCCGGUCACAUUGGGAGUGAGGUCCGGCCCAGACUCCUACGGGGGGCAGCAUUGGGGAAUAGUGCACAAUGGGCGCAAGCCUGCUGCAGCGACGCCGCGUGAGGGGUGGAGGCCUUCGGGUUGUGAACCUCUUUCGCUCAUGGUCAAGCCGCAACAAUGGUUGUGGUGAGGGUAGUGGGUAAAGAAGCGCCGGCUAACUACGUG
rnacentral:rRNA from 1 species